rnacentral:rRNA from 1 species
AUUGAACGCUGGCGGCAGGCCUAACACAUGCAAGUCGAACGAGCGGCGGACGGGUGAGUAAUGUAUGGGGAUCUGCCUGAUGGAGGGGGAUAACUACUGGAAACGGUAGCUAAUACCGCAUACCAUCAGAUGAGCCCAUAUGGGAUUAGCUUGUAGGGGAGGUAACGGCUCACCAAGGCGACGAUCCCUAGCUGGGCUGAGAGGGUGAUCAGCCACACUGGGACUGAGACACGGCCCAGACUCCUACGGGAGGCAGCAGUGGGGAAUAUUGGGCAAUGGGGGAAAGCCUGAUGGAGCCAUGCCGCGUGUAUGAAGAAGGUCUUCGGGUUGUAAAGGUCUUUUAGUCGGGAGGCGUUACCGACAGAAAAAGCCACGGCUAACUACGUGCCAGCAGCCGCGGUAAUAC